rnacentral:rRNA from 1 species
CACGUAGGGGCCAAGCGUUGUCCGGAUUUAUUGGGCGUAAAGAGCUCGUAGGCGGUUGGGUAAGUCGGGUGUGAAAACUCCGGGCUCAACUCGGAGACGCCACCCGAUACUGCUCUGACUUGAGUCCGGUAGGGGAGUGGGGAAUUCCUGGUGUAGCGGUGAAAUGCGCAGAUAUCAGGAGGAACACCGGUGGCGAAGGCGCCACUCUGGGCCGGAACUGACGCUGAGGAGCGAAAGCGUGGGGAGCGAACAGG